GCUAAAAAAAAUCCGCUAACGAAGAACAUUCCUCACUUCUGACAAUUUCCACAGCAGCCGUCACAUCCUCUGUAACAAUCAUGAAGUUCGUGUGGGGUCUUUGCUGUACAAUUGUACUGACGAUCUUGUCCGGAGGUGUGGAGGCCAAAACUUGUCAUAAUGACGAUGACUGCCAGUCUACAGAAUGCUGCAUUGGUCUUCUUUUCUUCGGCGAGUGCCGAAAACUAGAACCCGUUCACGAUCGUUGCUCAAUUCAGACCCAUGGGGGAAAUCUUCACCACGGUUACUGCCCGUGCCAAGGAAACCUGGAAUGUAAACGGAUUGAGGAGGAGUCAGGCAUCAUUGGCGGAGUGAAUGUCAAUCAUACGCGCUGCACCGCUCCAUAACUAAAGAUGUAAACAAUUUUACCAAUAAGUUGGAACGUUCAACAGAAAUACAUAUCCACCGAUGACGAUUUCAGACAAUGUGGAAUAAAUCAGAUUUAUACUAAUAA